GCUAUUUUGGCAGAUUAGUGCAAUAAAUUUAGAAUUUAUUUAUGUAAAUAUUUUUACAAAUAGUA
rnacentral:tRNA from 1 species